ensembl:snRNA Rnu6-840 RNA, U6 small nuclear 840
UUCCUUGGGCAGCACAUACACUAAAAAUGGAAUGAUACAGGGAAGAUUAGCAUGGCCCCUGCACACUCUUUUUUUUUGGGGGGGGUUCUCUUUUU